GCCGAAGUGGUGGAAUUGGUAGACACGCUAGGUUCAGGGUCUAGUGGUCGCAAGGCCGUAGGAGUUCGAGUCUCCUCUUCGGCA
rnacentral:tRNA from 1 species